AGAGUUCGAUCCUGGCUCAGGAUGAACGCUGGCGGCAUGCCUAAUACAUGCAAGUCGAACGAAGUUUCGAGGAAGCUUGCUUCCAAAGAGACUUAGUGGCGAACGGGUGAGUAACACGUAGGUAACCUGCCCAUGUGUCCGGGAUAACUGCUGGAAACGGUAGCUAAAACCGGAUAGGUAUACAGAGCGCAUGCUCAGUAUAUUAAAGCGCCCAUCAAGGCGUGAACAUGGAUGGACCUGCGGCGCAUUAGCUAGUUGGUGAGGUAACGGCCCACCAAGGCGAUGAUGCGUAGCCGGCCUGAGAGGGUAAACGGCCACAUUGGGACUGAGACACGGCCCAAACUCCUACGGGAGGCAGCAGUAGGGAAUUUUCGUCAAUGGGGGAAACCCUGAACGAGCAAUGCCGCGUGAGUGAAGAAGGUCUUCGGAUCGUAAAGCUCUGUUGUAAGUGAAGAACGGCUCAUAGAGGAAAUGCUAUGGGAGUGACGGUAGCUUACCAGAAAGCCACGGCUAACUACGUGCCAGCAGCCGCGGUAAUACGUAGGUGGCAAGCGUUAUCCGGAAUCAUUGGGCGUAAAGGGUGCGUAGGUGGCGUACUAAGUCUGUAGUAAAAGGCAAUGGCUCAACCAUUGUAAGCUAUGGAAACUGGUAUGCUGGAGUGCAGAAGAGGGCGAUGGAAUUCCAUGUGUAGCGGUGAAAUGCGUAGAUAUAUGGAGGAACACCAGUGGCGAAGGCGGUCGCCUGGUCUGUAACUGACACUGAGGCACGAAAGCGUGGGGAGCAAACAGGAUUAGAUACCCUAGUAGUCCACGCCGUAAACGAUGAGAACUAAGUGUUGGAGGAAU
rnacentral:rRNA from 1 species